rnacentral:rRNA from 1 species
AUACGGAGGGUGCGAGCGUUACUCGGAGUCACUGGGCGUAAAGCGUCCGUAGGCGGUCGGGUAAGUCGGGUGUGAAAGCCCCGGGCUCAACCUGGGAAGUGCACCCGAUACUGCUCGACUCGAGUGCGGGAGAGGAUGGCGGAAUUCCCGGUGUAGCGGUGAAAUGCGUAGAGAUCGGGAGGAACACCAGUGGCGAAGGCGGCCAUCUGGCCCGCAACUGACGCUGAGGGACGAAAGCGUGGGGAGCAAACAGGAUUAGAAACCCCGGUAGUCC